AAGUCGUAACAAGGUUUCCGUAGGUGAACCUGCGGAAGGAUCAUUAAAAAAAUGAGGUAUUUUAUACCUCUUGUAUUUAAAACCCAACUCUUUAAAAUAUAAUUUUUUUUUUAAAAAAAAAAAAACUUUCAACAAUGGAUCUCUUGGCUCUC
rnacentral:misc_RNA from 1 species